UCCUACGGGAGGCAGCAGUGAGGAAUAUUGGUCAAUGGUCGGGAGACUGAACCAGCCAAGCCGCGUGAGGGAUGAAGGUACAGAGUAUCGUAAACCUCUUUUGUCAGGGAACAAAGGCGGGGACGUGUCCCCGGAUGAGUGUACCUGAAGAAAAAGCAUCGGCUAACUCCGUGCCAGCAGCCGCGGUAAUACGGAGGAUGCGAGCGUUAUCCGGAUUUAUUGGGUUUAAAGGGUGCGCAGGCGGUCUGUUAAGUCAGCGGUCAAAGCCCGGGGCUCACCCCCGGCCCGCCGUUGCAACUGGCAGG
rnacentral:rRNA from 1 species